UACGUAGGGGGCGAGCGUUGUCCGAAUUUAUUGGGCGUAAAGGGCGCGUAGGCGGCCUUGCAAGUCCUCUGUGAAAUCUCCCGGCUUAACCGGGAGGGGUCAGAGGAAACUGCAGGGCUUGAGGGCAGCAGAGGAAAGCGGAAUUCCCGGUGUAGUGGUGAAAUGCGUAGAUAUCGGGAGGAACACCAGUGGCGAAGGCGGCUUUCUGGGCUGUUUCUGACGCUGAGGCGCGAAAGCGUGGGGAGCGAACCGG
rnacentral:misc_RNA from 1 species